rnacentral:rRNA from 1 species
CCUACGGGUGGCAGCAGUGAGGAAUAUUGGUCAAUGGGCUUACGCCUGAACCAGCCAAGUCGCGUGAGGGAAGAAUGCCCUAUGGGUUGUAAACCUCUUUUGCCAGGGAGCAAUUGGCGCUAUGUGUAACGUUAUCGAGUGUCGCUGAAGAAAAAGCAUCGACUAACUCAGUGCCAGCAAACGCGGUAAUACGGAGGGUGCGGGCGUUAUUCGGAUUUAUUGGCUGUAAGGGGAGCGUAGGCGGAAUGCCUAGUCAGCGGUAAACUCGCGGGGCUAAACCUAGCUCCGCCGUUGAAACUGGCGUUCUUGAGGGGGCGAGAGGGGUGCGGAAGGCGAGGUGUAGCGGUGAAAUGCAUAGAGAUCACGAAGAAUACCGGUUGCGAAGGCAGCAGACCGGC